AGGUGCGAUCAUACCAACACUAAUGCACCAGAUCCCAUCAGAAAUCCGCAAUGAAGCCUGUUUGGGCAAGAGUAGUACUUGGAUGGGUGACCUCUUGGGAAGUCCUUGUGUUGCACCCC